UACGUAGGGCGCAAGCGUUGUCCGGAAUCAUUGGGCGUAAAGCGCGCGUAGGCGGCCCGAUCAGUCCGCUGUAAAAGUCCAGGGCUCAACCCUGGAAAGCCGGUGGAUACUGUCGGGCUAGAGUCCGGAAGAGGCGAGUGGAAUUCCUGGUGUAGCGGUGGAAUGCGCAGAUAUCAGGAGGAACACCGAUAGCGAAGGCAGCUCGCUGGGACGGUACUGACGCUGAGGUGCGAAAGCGUGGGGAGCGAACAGG
rnacentral:rRNA from 1 species